rnacentral:misc_RNA from 1 species
CCAGCAUCGCGGCAAUGACCU